rnacentral:rRNA from 1 species
CAUGGCUCAGGACGAACGCUGGCGGCGUGGCCUAAUACAUGCAAGUCGGAGCGGACUUUUUUAAAAGCUNGCUUUUAAGAAGUCAGCGGCGGACGGGGUGAGUAACACGUGGGCAACCUGCCUGUAAGACUGGGAUAACUUCGGGAAACCGGAGCUAAUACCGGAUAAUAUAAGGAACCUCCUGGUUCUUUAUUGAAAGAUGGUUUCGGCUAUCACUUACAGAUGGGCCCGCGGCGCAUUAGCUAGUUGGUGAGGUAAUGGCUCACCAAGGCGACGAUGCGUAGCCGACCUGAGAGGGUGAUCGGCCACACUGGGACUGAGACACGGCCCAGACUCCUACGGGAGGCAGCAGUAGGGAAUCUUCCACAAUGGACGAAAGUCUGAUGGAGCAACGCCGCGUGAGCGAUGAAGGCCUUCGGGUCGUAAAGCUCUGUUGUUAGGGAAGAACAAGUGCGAGAGAACUGCUCGCACCUUGACGGACCAACAAAGC